UUUACUUCCAAUUAAAACAAAAUUCGUUUACAAUUACUUUACUCAACAAUCAUAUAUUGAUCUGCUUAUUUGCUUUACAAAUCACUAACUGCUGUUUGCUGAUACGUUUACAACAAGAUAUAUUAAUUUACAGGUAGUGGCAGUUGCCCAACAACAAAAUAUUGAGUGCAUUAUCCGUCAAAAUUAGUGAUUAGCGCAACUCUGAUUUUGUGUAUGUUACUAGUUCGUACCAUUUUUCGUUGUUUGUGGGUGUCAUGGUUCUUAACCAUAACACACACACAACAAAAACUCGUUGACAGAUAGUGUACUUCCCUAGAAAAAAUUGUAUUUAGCUGUUAAUGGUACAUGAUAAUUAUGUCAUGGUUUACAACACUCGUUUUUAGAUAAGACCAUGACAUAACUACCAGGUAGUGUACCGUGAACAGCUGAGUACAAUUUUUUUUCACGAAGUUCACUAUCUGUCAACUCGUUUGGUUAUGUGUGUGUAAUACUGUUAAAAACCAUAACACACAAAAACAACAAAAAAUUGAUCGAACAUACUCAAAAUCAGAAUUGCACUUAUCACUGAUUUUGACAGAUAGUGCACUCAAUAUUUUGUUGUUGGACAACUGCCACUUCCUGUAUGAUCUGUCCUUAGCAAAAAGUGCUGGUAAAAAGGUACUUGUGGUAGUGUUUUACGGCUUCUACAACUGCCAACAACUUUCUUCUCGUUAUGCAGUAAUUCCUUUCAGGCUUAGUUGUAGUAUCGGAGGACCUUUUCUUGACCGUUGACUUGCUGCGACAAGAUACCUCCGAUAUCAUAUGCACUAGCGUCCGUAUCCAAAACAAAUUUCUCGCCAGGAAUGAUUCCUCUUGGGUCUGGCUUCACUGAAACUUCUGGCCUUUCUGUGUCAAUUUGUGUAGAUUGGCUGCUGUGCUGGCGAAAUUUGAAACGAAUCGUCUGUAAUAAGUACAGAGACCAAGAAAGCUCCGUAGUUCGUGUAAGAUACGAGCAAUUUCUUAGAGUCCGGACUUUGUGUUCAUCCGGUGAUAUACCCAUCGCCGUGACAUGAUGUCCCAGAUAUUUCACGUCUCGCUGGAAAAAGUUGCGCUUUUUCGCAUUAAGUCUCAGGCCGGCGGUUGAUAGUUGUUGGGGAACAUCCUUCAAGUUCUUAAGAUGGUCGUCAAAGGUUUUUCUCAUGACUAUGAUAUCGUCUAGGUAUAUCAAGCACGACUUCCAUUGAAGCCGCUUCAAUACACGCUCCAUAAGACUUCCAAAGGUGGCCGGGGUGUUGCAGAGUCUGAAUGGCAUAACGUUGAAUUGCUAGGGUCCGUCAUUAACGCCAAAUGCAGUUUUCUCUUUGACUUUUUCUGCGAUCUCUACCUGACAGUAACCACUUUGCAAAUCAAGUGUGGAGAACCAUUUUGUCCCGGCUAGGGUGUCCAGUGUGUCAUCAAUUCUUGGGUGUGGAUAUCUGUCCUUUUUGGUGACAUCGUUAAGCUUUCUAUAAUUAACACAGAAUCGAGUGCUUCUGUCUGUAUUUUAGCCAGCACCACUGGGGAGCACCAUGGACUUGAUGAUGGUUCUAUGACACCACUUUUCUCCAUAUCACUUACAGGUUCUGACUUCGUCCCUCUUUGCCAAGGAAACACUCCUUGUGGCCUGUUUUAUCGGACUUGCUUCUGUGGUAUAUAUUUCAUAUUUUACUGCCGAUGUUCUUCCUUGGUUUUCAUUCGUAAAGGCAAAAGUGGAUACAUGUUUAUAAAGCAAUUGCUUAGCCUAAUUCUUCUCAGAAGGAGAAAGACUGCUUGUCCAGCCCUUGAUGUAUUCCUCUAAAUGCUUUUUUUCCUUAAACGAUGAAUUUGGUGAGCUGCUUUUUAAAUUUACUAUUGCCCAACAUCGCAGAAUUCGUAAAUUUUCUUAUGAUUGGUUGCCAAGUUUAGGACUCGUUCUAGGAUUAGUCCCUCAUCGUUGGUCGUUACCAGGGCACAUGCUAUUAGGACGUUGUUGUUUUUUAUUUCUGCUAGUCCAACCACCCACAAAUUACCGGCUUCACAUUUUCCAUUCAUUGGCACACAUAUUAUUGUUUCGGCAUUUGGAGGUAUUAUCUCUGGAUGGUUUGUAGUUAGACGCCUUAUAUGGGUAUUCUCGUCAUAACCCAAAUUCAACGGUAAUUCGAUGUUUGCAGGUCAUCACACGAUGUUUCAUAAACAGGUUAAGAUCAUAAAAUCGGCACCAAAAUCUACAAUAUCGGCCACUAUAAACUCAUAGGAUAUACAGGUGAUUGUUGCGGGCUCCUCUGUGGCCGUACGCAACCUGACUCCAUUUACGGGGAUAUCCUUCCUUUUACUAAAUCUGCCCUAUUGAGAGAUUUUGAUGAUCCCGUAUCCAAUGCCAAUCUAGUGAAUCUGGGGUUUUGCAAUUAAUCUCGUCGUGUCUUGUGCAAGCGAGAAUGGCACAGUUUCUGCGAACGUAGACUUUUGCGACGCAUACGUUGCACAUUUAAUUUCAGGGUCCCGGAUAUCGUUCACAAAAGUCUCUAUCUUCAUUCGGUCCAUCAAUGGAUGGCUUUCUCUUGGGUAUGUGAAUAACACUAGUUGCUUUACCUCUGUUGCGAAAUCCUGUAGCGUCUCGUUUGAUUUCUGAACUCGUCCUCUCAAAUCCAUCCUCUUUAUGUCUUGCUUAUCUUCUCCCCCGUACUUACGUUGAAGUGCAGCUGUAAUUUCGCUAUUGUUUUUUCUAGAGGGAGUGGGAAUACUUUGUAUUACCUCGUAAGUACUUCCCUUUAACGCCAGCAGGAGCUCAAUUGCCUUGUCGUUGUCAUUCCAUGAAUUUCGGGAGGCGAGAGUCUCGAACUGGAACUCGAAUUCAUCAAAUGUUGUAGUUCUAUCAAACGCUGGAUUUUUGAUUUUAGUGGCACUGUCGAUAACGCGCAAUGGACCAUCUUUGAUUUCCAGUUCCGAAAUUUUCUUCUCGAUGUACAAAAGUUUCUCGUCAUGAGUAUAACUAAUCUUAUCCAGAUCCUUUAUUUGGCCUUCUACGUUUGCCACUCGUUUAUCCAUAAAUUUAGAUAUUUUCUGGAGUUCCUCGUUCAGAAUUGUGGAGUUUUCUGAGAAUUUUGCAUCCAAUUUUUCAGCCAGAAUUCUGGAAGUGUCUUCCAUUAUUUUUCUGGAAUUCUUCCAUCAUUUUACUUAUGUCGGCUAGCAUUACUGCGAAACUCACAUCUCCUGCAGUAACUUUCGAAACUUCCUCGUCGCUGGCAUCACCCCUUAUCGAAUCGAUCACCCUUACUGUCGAACUCAAUUAUUUAAUUUUACGGCGCUCAAUAACCGCUUUUGUAGUUCCGCCUUGUUGUCGGUAGUUGCUAGCUCCAUUUUACAAAGCUCUUUCUUCGAGUCGUCCACGCGUAGAUUAGCGAAUUUCAUUGAAUACGUUUAUUUCGUAAUUUCACUUCUGACACUAGUUGUUACGUUUUUAGUAUAGGCGUUUUACUUCCAAUAAAAACACAGUUCUUUUACAAUUACUUUACUCAACAAUGAUUUAUUGAUCUGCUUAUUUGCUUUACAACUCACUAACUGCUGUUUGCUGAUACGUUUACAAUACGCGCUUUUAGGUAAGACUGACACGUGUUGCGUUGUGCCACUGCCUAUAUACUUCUUGCUGGCCACAUCGAUGUGUCGAGAAUACCCAAUUUGGUAACUUCGCGAUAAUUCCUCCAUUGGUUAUUGCUUAGCUGACCAUCGUUGACAAACACGCAUACAUAGCGCGAUGUUCGACAGGUUAACACAUACUCUUACAGCUAUUGAACAAGCGUGGAGUUAAACAAAACAGAAACAAUUAUGCAUUAAAAAAUUAAUGAAUGAAUGUUUUUAUUGAGACUUCUUCUUACUUUGUCAAAAUACAUUAGCGAUGCAUAUCGAAUGGUUAACAUAAUGGUAAACAAAAAAAAAUAAAUUUACGUCUUGUUCUAACCUUUUUUGUCAAUGAAUAUAAGCUAUUUGCUAUAUGAGAUUGAUAAUGUAUUAGAAACACGAGAUACAAGGCUUUCUCUCGGCGUUUACGGUUGUAUACAGAGCAAUUUGUCUGUUAAAAAAUAAAUAAACAAUAAACUACCAAACACUUAAAAAUAGAUAAUAAAACGAACUGCUAACAGUAACGGUGAUGUAGUAAACAUGAAAACGUAAUUAUAAGAUCAUUGAAUGAAUGUAAAAAGCACAUUUGUAUCUCAGAGAAUUUCAUGUACAUAAGUUUCUAUACAAAGCUAACCUCUGUGUGAUCCAGGACAGGCUUUAAGAUAGAACUGAGGCAUAUUGUUGUGGUCUGAGUCGGGGUUAAAAGGUUCGUGGAUAAUAGAAACAGGUGACAUAUAAGCCGAAUCAGUUCAGCGUUUGUUUUUCUCCAAAUUAUACAUGUCGCAUAAUAGAAGUUUUCAUGACCUUGGGUAAGAAGGAGUAGAGUCGCAAAGUCAUGUGACAUCAACGGCAUGGUCGAGAAGCCAUUGUUUAAGUAUUUCACCAUUUGAAUUUUCCGAUAAAUCUCCCCAGGAAGGGCUUUUGGCAUUUAAAUCUCCGCCAAUAAUAAAACCAUCAAAACCGCUAAUUAAGUCCAAUAGCUUAUUUAAACUAAGAUUUUUUCCUGGUACCAUUAGAUACAAAACAAGAAUUGAACCCCAAAUCGGUUAACACAAUUCUAUUAUAGCUUGUAUUGUUUUUAAGUAUAAUCGCUACGCCAAGGGGGGAGCCAUCGUAUAUAAAGUUGUAAUCAGAGAAUUCCUGUACCUGCUCAAAUGGCAUUCUUGGAUUAAGCCAAUAUCAAUCUUGUUGUUCACUAGUGUGUUGCAAAGGUCAACUUGUUUGCUUCGGUUCACAAGAGACCUCACAUUGAAUGUUAAACAAUUUAAAUGUUUAUGGAUCAUUUGACUUAACCUUUUUAAGCAGACAUAAAAAUUCGGCUUUUGCUUCGGCCUUUGGCAUUUUUUGAUAUUCCAUAAGAAAUAUAUUUAUCUCCUCUUCUAUAGAGAGCUCCUCAGGCUCUGAGAAAAACUUGACAAGUUUUAAGAAUUGUUCAAUUAUUGAUGACUUAUUUUGUUGUUAUUAUUCGGAUAAAAAAAGUUGGCAUAAGAUUUCACAGGGGUAAUAGCAGGCAGGUUAAUUGCAAUUGGCGCAAAAGGGAUCAGAUGGUCGUUCUCCACACGAGGACAUUCCCCAGGACUAUGCUGCCUGCGCAUUUCACGCAAUUGUAUGCCGAGUUACAAUUGCGUGAAAUGUGACCCCAUCUUUAGCAACGGUGGCAUUGAAUUUCGCCUUCUCUUUUUGGUGUUUCCCAAGUGACGAUUUGAUUGAGUAUACCGCGAAUAUGAGUAACAUCGCCCAAUUUCAUUCCGGGAAGUAAAUAAACUAGAAACAGGCCAGUUUCUAUAUUCUUCUUGAUCGAUCCGGGAGUUUUAAACUUUGUUGCAGUUGCAACGGUGUCUGGGACCAGAUUUUCCAGUUCCUCCUUAAUUUGUUCGAGCUCGGAAUUUGAAUGAAGUCGUAAUAUGACUGCCUCUUGUCUUAUUUCUUUUGGAGUGAAGGGAUGUGACAGUAUAUUCUUGGUUCGAAGUAAAGCCAUCAUUGUUGCAUGAGUUUGAAUAUCAGCAAAGAAAAGCGUGCUUAUGUUAUUAACCUUAAAAGACGAGUCAGGAAUUUUUGAACGCAAGUCAUUUUUAAUGUUCACGUUGUACAAGAUCUUAUGUUUGGCACGGAGUUUUUGCCUGCAUCUUGAACACUUGCCGUUUGGUUUGUGCUUACUUGGGGUGUAUUCGACAUUGGUGUGGUGCUAACGUGAGGACGUCGAGUGGGAAUAUCUUAACCGACAGUAAAAUUGCCAUAAGGGCAACAACAACCAGGACGGUAAGGUCACGAACAGUCUUGCAGUGUAAGAAGGAAAUUAACGCAUUCUCUGAGGAUGGCAAAAUCCGCAUAGUUUGGGUGCCGGGCCAUAAUGAAGUAGGGGGAAAUAAAAGAGCAGACAAUUUGGCGGUGAAGGCCAGAGGACUGCCGUCAAUAAACUUGGUUAACCCGAAACCUAUCGGCUCGACGCCGUCCGAGUUAAGAGAGUGGGCGAAGAAUGCACAUGCAACGUUGUGGAACAGCGAAACGGUCGGUAGGACGACAAAAAUCCUACGGGAGGAUUCAGAUCGUGAGAAGAUGAGGCUAUUACUGAAAGGAAGCAAAGAGGAGGUCAGUAUAGCUAUUGGUAUCAUAACGGGACACAUAGGACUACGAGCUCACUUAUGUAAAAUCGGUGCGGCAAGUGAUAGCAUGUGUAGGGCAUGCGGGGAAGAAGAUAAGACGUUGGAGUAUUUCCUUUGUCAUUGCCCGGCUUUCGCGUCCAACAGAUACCGGUACUAAGACAGAUACCAGUACUAUCAGACAUGAACCAACUUAGGGGAGUGGUAUUAAAAACAAUUAAGGAUUUUGUGUGUAGCACGGAAUUCCUAACUUAAAAAUUUUCUUUUUAGAGGUUACUUUAUACUUUAAAGAGGGCACAACAAGCCGAUUACUGGCUUAGAUGUAUGUCCAUAGUGGCAUGGGGCGGUUUAAUAUCUGCACCCUCUUUUCAACCUAACCUACUUGGGGUGUAGAUUUAAUUUCUAACAUCUAGAAUAGCAAAUUUAUUUUGGCUGUUUGGUGUAUGGUUUGUAAGACGUGUGAACUGAUCCGAAAUAUCCACAUUUUGAGUUUAAAAGGAGGCAUCCAGACUUUGCCUUUUGCAAUCGUUUGAUGUUGUUGGUAGAACUGCUGGCUAGACUAUUGCACUUUUGAGGAUGUUGCAACUACUUUCACGACAUCACAAUCCAUGUCGGCACCGGCUCCUGCGCAAAUACUGAGUGCUUAUGAUGGUCUAUACGACAAGGCGGAUUAUUGGCGCCUUUAAAUAACAAAUAGCCAACCUGUUCCCGCGGCGGGCGGUUCUUUCGACCGGAUCGAGCUUUCUUACCUGAGGAGUAUCGCCACCCCCACAUGAAAACGUGGCUACAACAACAAGUAAUAAUCCUAUGGCAGCCGGAUGUACGUACCGGAUAGAACCGAUUAAAUCCUCAUUGGUAAGGACUGCCGCCUCAGUCCAUUUUUCGUCAUAGAGAGCUGUGUGUCACAAGCGUCGCCGUCGUCGCCAUCUGCGCCCUCGACUUUGGAUUAUGUGACCACCCACACCCCAACAUGGAGUGCAAGGGGAUAGCAGUCAAGUCCGGAACAGCAAAGAUUGAGCUACACAACGUGUACAUGCUGGUUGGUAGUUGUGACCCAGUUUAUGGCCAGGCUUACAAGUCCGACAUAAUAGGGCUUCCGCCUGGCCAUAAUCGUCUGGUUCUAGGAGACUUUAAUCCGCAUCUAGUUUCAUGGCAUUCUCCCCUCCACGUUUUGCACGGUGAAUGAGGAUGCCCCACUAGGAUUACGAGGAGGUGCAGCAGCUCGCUAGAUAUUUCCAUUGCAUCCCCUAUUCUCCUGAGUGACGUAACAUGGCAAGCCGUCAUUUCUUUGGGAUCAGACCAUCUCCCCAUAAUUCUCACCAUCGACCGACCACCCCUCUGAGCGCCGGACGUUAAUCAAUUAGAAGAAGGCCGAUUUGGUCGACUUCACAGAAAACAGCAAUUGCUGCUUCCGUGAACUGACACCCCUCUCGGAUUUGCUAAUUGUCGAAAGGAAAUUCCAAGAAAUUUUUAACGGGUAGUGGUACCCGUAGACGAAGUGAUGGGAUUCGUUGAACGAAUCCCACUAACCCCAAAAUCAACCAGCUGAAUCUGGAAAUUAACUGGGUAGUCAAAGAACAUAAGCGGAUUUUGUGGGUGGAACACUUUGAACAGUGUAGCUUAGGUACCGGUUUAGGUAAGCUGUGGUCGACUAAUAAGUCACUCUCGAACCCCGGUAGACGGGACGACAGGACCCCAGUCACUUUUGGCGACUUAACUGAGACUGAUCCAAAGGGGUGCGCCGGGUUGUUCAAUCGUCAAUUUAUAGUGCAUCCUGAGAGUGAUAUGGCUAGGAGGAGAACCAUUCGUCAUCCCCGUGGUCCCCGUGACGAAGAACAGCCAUCAAAAUUUAUCAUGGAAGAAGUUACGAAUGUUAUCUGUAGCGCCAAAUCAUCCAAUGCGUUGAGCCCCGACGCAAUUUACCUUACAACUGUCCUCAAUCUGUCUUUGAACACUCUUAUAGUACCCGAUGUCUGUUAAAAGGUCACAUUGAUCCCGCUAUUGAAGCCUGGAAAGACCCGAGUAAUGGGAAGUCGUACAGACCGAUCUCCCUACUCUCACCAGUAGCCAGGACGCUUUUGGGACUAUUCCUCUCGAGCUUCGUUGGAUAAUUUCCAUUUUCCGAUCAUCAGCAUAGAUUUCGAAGACUGCAUAGCACAACAACUGUUUUGCAUGCCGUGGUUUUAAUAGGGCCAUGAAAUAGGACGGUCAUCGUGGCACUGGACCUAUCGAAAGCAUUCGACAUUCUGAUACAUAGCGUUGUCGUAAUAGGAACGUUAGUACUUUAAUUCCCAUAAAAUACAAUCCAGUUUCUGAGAUGUUAUCGAUUGAGAUUGAAGUGAGAGCAAAACUGAUUUUUGGAAAGUGGAAUUUGCUGUUGGGAGUUGCUGUUGAGAAAGAAAUUCAAUUAUAAGCGGAAAUGAGGCAAGCGCAGAUUUUACGAAAAGAAGUUUGAUAGAAUCUCUAUAGAAAUCAAGAAAAAGACGAAGACCCAUAUAACCUUACAAAAAAAAUAUUAUAAAAAUAUUAAAUUAAUAUAUUAAACAUUAUAAAUCAAAUACACGUAUUUACUAUAAAAAAACUGCAAACAAAAAAAUGUUGAAAACAUUACUUAAGCACAUGAGAAACAUGCAAUGCAAGUUAAAAUCCCCUCGUUAAACAGAAAUAUUGCAUAAAUACAACGUUCAAGUGUUUGAAAGGAAAAUAUCUCAAUAGAAGAAAAAAAAAAUUAAGUAAAAGAGAUAAAAAAGAGUGGACAAAAAUUUUGUAUAAACUCCCCCCAUGAAACAAAAAAUUGCCUGAAACAAUCAGCACCAUAGUUUGUUUCACCACCUAAUAACUGCUAAAAGUUAACAAAUAACGGAACAGAACAAAAAUAUAAAACACCGUUAAAGAGCUUUUGGCAUCAAACAAAACAGUUACAAAAGUAGUUUUUAAAGUAACUUAAAAAAAAUAUGAAAAAGAAUUUAAAGAAAAAGAGAAGAAACAAGAUAAGUUAUCAAAGCAAAAAAACACAAAGAAGCAUUAGACUACUCAUACACAACUUAAACUAAACUAUUCCCAACCUGACGAGAUAUAAAACCCGAAACUAAUGUCUAACUUGUGCCCCCUUCCCGUAUUGGGAUGAUUCAAGGCCUUACGAAGAUCCGCAGAACUGAAUUUAUGGAAACAAUAAAAAGAAAAAAAAAAAAAAAAAAUAAAUUGUUACUAAAAAGUGUUAAUUAUAUCUUCAUAUUUAUAUACACAUUUUUUUAUUAACUAGGGUUGCAUGCAUCAAAUCUAAGUAAAAAUUCUAUAAAAGAAAUAACAAAAAAGAAUAUAUUAAAGAAAAAAGAGAAUUUGCUAUUUUUAUUAUCAUAUGAACAGAUCUCUGAUCUUGACUUUUUGAGAUACUAGAGGGCGCAAUUCUUAUCCGAUUUGGUUGAAAUUAUACAUGACCUGUGUUGUUAUGAUUUCCAACAACAGUGUCAAACAUGGUUGAAAUCGGUCCAAAACUUUAGAGGGCGCAAUUCCUAUCCGAUGUGGCUGACAUUUUGCAUGACGUUUUUCGUGAUGACUUCCAAAAACUGUGCUAAGUAUUGUUCAAAACGGUCCAUAACCUGAUAUAGCUGCCACAUAAAGCCAUCUUCCGAUUUGAGUUGUUGAGCCUUUAGAGGGCGCAUGCUAAACUCACAUAAUAUAGCGCUGUAUUGUUGGUGAGUUAUAAUUUUAGUCUAAGAAAAGAGAAAGACACCAAGUGAGAUUUGUUUACAUAAAGAAGUCUGAAGAAAGAAUGUAAAAAUGAAGUGGAGAAUCUGUACUAAGAAAAAAUUAAGAAAAGAGAAGGAAUUUAAAGAAGGGAUUUCUCUCCCAUUUGGAUGGGAAAAGAACAAGAACCAUAACAAUAGGAAAUUGCAUAUUUUUUUAUUGUUAUUUUAUAUACUUACCUAUUGUUCUCAUAUUUUUUUCUAUCAAUAAUCAUAUUGUCUACUUUAAAUGAAUUAAAUAUAUAUGUAAUGACAUUGACUGUCCAAAUUA